rnacentral:rRNA from 1 species
UGAGGAAUAUUGGUCAAUGGGCGGGAGCCUGAACCAGCCAAGCCGCGUGAGGGAGGAAGGCCCUAUGGGUCGUAAACCUCUUUUGUCAGGGAACAAAAGCGAGUAUGUAUACUAGUCUGAGUGUACCUGAAGAAAAAGCAUCGGCUAACUCCGUGCCAGCAGCCGCGGUAAUACGGAGGAUGCGAGCGUUAUCCGGAUUUAUUGGGUUUAAAGGGUGCGUAGGCGGCGGUGCAAGUCAGCGGUAAAAGCCCGGGGCUCAACCCCGGCGAGCCGUUGAAACUGCAGUGCUAGAGAAGGCGAGAGGUAUGCGGAAUGCGCAGUGUAGCGGUGAAAUGCUUAGAUAUUGCGCAGAACUCCGAUUGCGAAGGCAGCGUACUGGCGCCUGACUGACGCUGAGGCACGAAAGCGUGGGGAUCGAACAGGAUUAGAUACCC